rnacentral:rRNA from 1 species
UACGGGGGGAGCAAGCGUUGUUCGGAUUACUGGGCGUAAAGGGCGCGUAGGCGGCCACCGCAAGUCGGUUGUGAAAUCUCUGGGCUUAACCCAGAAAGGUCAACCGAUACUGCGGGGCUAGAGUGCAGAAGGGGCAACUGGAAUUCUCGGUGUAGCGGUGAAAUGCGUAGAUAUCGAGAGGAACACCUGCGGCGAAGGCGGGUUGCUGGGCUGAUACUGACGCUGAGGCGCGAAAGCCAGGGGAGCGAACGGG